ACGACUCUCGGCAACGGAUAUCUCGGCUCUCGCAUCGAUGAAGAACGUAGCGAAAUGCGAUACCUGGUGUGAAUUGCAGAAUCCCGCGAACCAUCGAGUCUUUGAACGCAAGUUGCGCCCGAGGCCGCUCGGCCGAGGGCACGCCUGCCUGGGCGUCACGC
rnacentral:rRNA from 2 species